CAGGCCUAACACAUGCAAGUCGAGCGGGCGAGGUUGCUUCGGUAACUGAGCUAGCGGCGGACGGGUGAGUAAUGCUUAGGAAUCUGCCUAUUAGUGGGGGACAACAUUCCGAAAGGAAUGCUAAUACCGCAUACGCCCUACGGGGGAAAGCAGGGGAUCUUCGGACCUUGCGCUAAUAGAUGAGCCUAAGUCAGAUUAGCUAGUUGGUGGGGUAAAGGCCUACCAAGGCGACGAUCUGUAGCGGGUCUGAGAGGAUGAUCCGCCACACUGGGACUGAGACACGGCCCAGACUCCUACGGGAGGCAGCAGUGGGGAAUAUUGGACAAUGGGCGCAAGCCUGAUCCAGCCAUGCCGCGUGUGUGAAGAAGGCCUUUUGGUUGUAAAGCACUUUAAGCGAGGAGGAGGCUACUUGGAUUAAUACUUUAGGAUAGUGGACGUUACUCGCAGAAUAAAGCACCGGCUAACUCUGUGCCAGC
rnacentral:rRNA from 1 species